GUCGUCGUGGUGUAGUGGUCAGCACGCUCGGUGGGUAUUCGAGAGGUUCGUGGUUCGAAUCCCGGCGAGGGCA
rnacentral:tRNA from 1 species